GUAGAGAAGGGAGUGGGGAUUGGGGUUUUCUUGUUCCCCUGGGGGGUUUCAAGCCCCAGGUGGAACUUGCCCUGUGUUGUUCAUGGGGAUUCCCCUCCACACACAUGUGCUCGCCGCUCUGGAGCUGCUUGCUGACCCUCUUAUUAAAGCACCUGUGAAAAUGAAAGACAGAUUUCUUCACCUUGAUAGUUUUGGUGCUGGAGACCUGAUUCUAGCAGUCGAAGGUCAGAGGGGAAGGUCCUUGCUCAGGAUCGGACUCCGGUUGGUCCAGUCCCCACACAUCUCCUUUCUUCAUGUUUCUCAAUCCUUCCCUGAGUCUUCAGUUACUGUUCUGGAAACUUCUCUGUGGUCCAGGACUAGGGGGCUCCUCUAGUAUCUCAUGACCCAGUCUUCUCCCUGUUAUCUUCCCACAGGUGGAGAAGGAGGGAGCUACACUCAGGCUGCAGGCAGUGACAGUGCCCAGGGCUCUGACGUGUCUCUCAUGGAUCCUAAAGUGUGAGCUGGCUUGUCGGGGACUGAGUGACGCAAGAUUUGUUCACGCUCCCACUUUGUGGCUUCAAGAAUCCUGUCUAGUUUUUCUGCAGCUGGCAUCUGAGUGUGUCUGUGUUCCUAUUAGCAUAAUAAGAGGAGGUGGGGAGACUGGCCCACUCCCCGCCUGCCCACCACGACCCGCCCACACACUUACCUGUGUUAUUUGCCCUGAUGACUUCCCUGUUCCAGCGGAGGUGUGGCUGGGCCGUCUCCAUCCCUGUCUCCACUUCCUGUUGCACCGAAUAGUAAUGAUUUGCUUCCUUGUUGAAAAUGUGAAUCCAAAUAUGAAUUUUUUUUCGAAUUCUUGUCAUAAGGGAUUGUUGUGUUAAUUAAAGAAGAAAUUUCCUAAAGUUUGAGAGAGGAAAUAAAUGGAAGCACUGAGAACCUUCUA